rnacentral:rRNA from 1 species
AUGGAAGAUAACAACUUAUGUAUUUUGAAUUGGAAUGUUCGUGGAUUGAACUGCCCACACCGUCGUACAACUGUUCAUGAAACCAUCGCCUCCACUCCUUGCAUCAUUGUAUGUCUUCAAGAAACCAAGCUUGCUGUCAUGGAUCCUUUUAUUGCUGCUUUCCUCGGCGGCCAUCGCCUGAACAGCUUCGCUGAGCGGCCCGCGAAUGGCACCCGUGGGGGAAUUCUUCUAUUAUGGAAUGAAGAUCUUGUCAAGAUUGAUAAUGUGAGCUUUGGGGACUUCUUCCUCUCGGCCAUGGUGACUAUCAUUGGCUCAAACACCUCUUUCCAAAUCACA